AACGAACGCUGGCGGCAUGCCUAACACAUGCAAGUCGAACGAGACCUUCGGGUCUAGUGGCGCACGGGUGCGUAACGCGUGGGAACCUGCCCUUAGGUUCGGAAUAACUCCCCGAAAGGGGUGCUAAUACCGGAUAAUGUCUUCGGACCAAAGAUUUAUCGCCUUUGGAUGGGCCCGCGUUGGUUUAGCUAGUUGGUAGGGUAAAAGCCUACCAAGGCGACGAUCCAUAGCUGGUCUGAGAGGAUGAUCAGCCACACUGGGACUGAGACACGGCCCAGACUACUACGGGAGGCAGCAGUGGGGAAUAUUGGAAAAUGGGCGAAAGCCUGAUAAAGCAAUGCCGCGUGAGUGAUGAAGGCCUUAGGGUUGUAAAGCUCUUUUAACCGGGAUGAUAAUGACAGUACCGGGAGAAUAAGCUCCGGCUAACUCCGUG
rnacentral:rRNA from 1 species